CGCAAGUGCGGCUGCUAUACAUGCAAGUCGAACGAGCUUCCGUUGAAUGACGUGCUUGCACUGAUUUCAACAAUGAAGCGAGUGGCGAACUGGUGAGUAACACGUGGGAAAUCUGCCCAGAAGCAGGGGAUAACACUUGGAAACAGGUGCUAAUACCGUAUAACAACAAAAUCCGCAUGGAUUUUGUUUGAAAGGUGGCUUCGGCUAUCACUUCUGGAUGAUCCCGCGGCGUAUUAGUUAGUUGGUGAGGUAAAGGCCCACCAAGACGAUGAUACGUAGCCGACCUGAGAGGGUAAUCGGCCACAUUGGGACUGAGACACGGCCCAAACUCCUACGGGAGGCAGCAGUAGGGAAUCUUCCACAAUGGACGAAAGUCUGAUGGAGCAAUGCCGCGUGAGUGAAGAAGGGUUUCGGCUCGUAAAACUCUGUUGUUAAAGAAGAACACCUUUGAGAGUAACUGUUCAAGGGUUGACGGUAUUUAACCAGAAAGCCACGGCUAACUACGUGCCAGCAGCCGCGGUAAUACGUAGGUGGCAAGCGUUGUCCGGAUUUAUUGGGCGUAAAGCGAGCGCAGGCGGUUUUUUAAGUCUGAUGUGAAAGCCUUCGGCUUAACCGGAGAAGUGCAUCGGAAACUGGGAGACUUGAGUGCAGAAGAGGACAGUGGAACUCCAUGUGUAGCGGUGGAAUGCGUAGAUAUAUGGAAGAACACCAGUGGCGAAGGCGGCUGUCUAGUCUGUAACUGACGCUGAGGCUCGAAAGCAUGGGUAGCGAACAGGAUUAGAUACCCUGGUAGUCCAUGCCGUAAACGAUGAGUGCUAAGUGUUGGAGGGUUUCCGCCCUUCAGUGCUGCAGCUAACGCAUUAAGCACUCCGCCUGGGGAGUACGACCGCAAGGUUGAAACUCAAAGGAAUUGACGGGGGCCCGCACAAGCGGUGGAGCAUGUGGUUUAAUUCGAAGCUACGCGAAGAACCUUACCAGGUCUUGACAUCUUCUGCCAAUCUUAGAGAUAGACGUUCCCUUCGGGGACAGAUGACAGGGGUGCAUGGUUGUCGUCAGCUCGUGUCGUGAGAUGUUGGGUUAAGUCCCGCACGAGCGCACCCUUAUUAUCAGUUGCCAGCAUUCAGUGGGCCCUCUGGUGAGACUGCCGGUGACAACCGAGAAGGUGGGGAUGACGUCAAUUAUUCAUGCCCUUAUGAACUGGCUACCACCGUGUCACAAUGAACG
rnacentral:rRNA from 1 species